AUUUGCUCUGUUUCCACCUCCUUUAGCUUUCCAAAACAUGAAUUCCAAACGGAAAGCAGAAACAUGGAAGAAGAACCGAAGACAGCUGGCAUAUUCAACCGUCGGGACACCAGACUAUAUCGCCCCUGAGGUCUUCAUGCAGACGGGCUACAACAAGCUUUGUGACUGGUGGUCUCUUGGAGUGAUAAUGUACGAGAUGUUGAUAGGCUACCCACCC